GCCCCACACGCCUCCAAGUUAAGGGGAUGGAGGCAGGUGCCAGGGUGAGCCUUCGCCCUCUGUCCCCGCAGCCGAGGCGGUGAGAAGGGGUACCUGGGAGGGCAAGGCAGGACCCCAUCCCCUGCUUUGCUUCAGGAGACCCUGCAGCUGAAGGAGAAGGAGGGCUGCUCCCAGGCCUUCCACGCGCUCCUCUCCUGGCUUCUGACCCGGGACGCGGCCGUCAUCCUGGACUUCUGGAGGGUUCUCUUCAAGGACUACAACCUGGAGAGAUAUGCCAGGCUGCAGCCCAUCCUCGACAGCUUCCCCAAAGAUGUGGACCUCAGCCAGCCCCGGAAGGCAAGGAAGCCCCUGGCCAGCUCCAAGGCCGCUGUGCUGCUGCCCAGGCCCCCUGCCAAGAGGAAGGCCCUGGAGGAGCCGCGGGCCACCCCGCCCACAGCCCUGUCCCCGAGGGCCACCUCCAGCCCAGGUACCCAGUGUGAGGAGCGGGGGAGGGGAGGGGGCACAGAUUCCCCCCGGGAGCCUGACACCCUCCUUCACACCAGGCCCUGGGACCAUCUGCCCUUCCUGCUUGGCCCAGAGCCAGCCUAGCAGAGGGCCCUCUGGGUACUUGGCCGGGCACCCUGGAUGGGUCCGGCAGCCCUGCUGCCCCCUGGGGGUGUACCUUCCCUCUCCUGAUGGGCGCCAGAGCUGGGAAAGCAAGGGGACCUGCUGGAGUUGGGGAGAUCCCACCUGGGCUCUCCACCUGCCCCCAGCCUUGGCCAGCAGGGACAGGGGGGCCAGGCUGUCUCUGCUCCCCCUACCCCCCACCAGCAGGCUCCCAGGCCAAGGCCAAGCCCUCCAAGAAGCCGGACAGCAAUGCAGAGCCACAGUGCCUCCCGCUGGGCAAUGGAAUCCAGACCAUGUCCACUUCGGUCCAGAGAGCCGUGGCCGUGUCGUCCGGGGACGUCCCAGGGGCCCACGGGGCCCUGGAGGGAAUCCUUAUCCAGCAGGUGUUCGGCUCAGGUAGACAGGGCACUGCCAGGGGCUCCGCGUCCCCACUCAGCUCCGUGGCGGCUCCAGGGCAGCGGGACACGGACUAGGCGGCCAGCGCCCCCACUCCCUGCAGUGGGUCUGCCGCCUCGGAGGGGUGGGGCUGGGCGACUCUGGACUGUCUGAGCAGCACCCGCCCCCUGCCCCACUCCUGCACCCCUCCUCCUCAGUCGCUGUGCUGGGCACCCUCUGGGGAUGCUGAGGACCCUGGGCGCUGACGCGGGCUCUGGCCUCACCCACCAGGGAGGGUCCCGAAGACCCCUGCAGUAGUUUCCUAGGGCUGUUACGACAAAGUGUCACAAACUAGGUGGCUCAAAGCAGGGGCAACUCCAAAAUGAAGCUGCGGGCGGGGCCCCACUUGCUCUCUGGGGAGGCUGUAGGGCAGAACCCUCCCGGCCUCCCUGCUCCUGGUGCUGCCUGCAACCCCCCUCCCCGGGCUUGUGGCCACGUCACUCCAGCCUCCUGGACACAGUCUCCUCCCUGUGUCUGUCUGCGUCCUCUUCUCUUCCCAUAAAGACACUGGCAUUGGACUUAAGGUCCAGAGUGAGCCCAUCUUAACCAAUCCCACCAGCAAAGACUCUACCUGCAAGUGAGCUUGCCUUCCGGGGUUCCAAGAGGCCGUGAAUCUGGGAGACAUGCUUCCCCAGGGAGUGGACCCCUCCUUGUGCAGGACCCUGGCCCCAGAGCUCUGGGGGGAGGAACAGCAAGCUGUACAGCCCCCUGCCCGGCCCCCCCUCUCCCCCCAGCUGGCUCCAAGAAGUGCAUCCAGGUUGGGGGGGAGUUUUACACUCCCAGCAAGUUUGAAGAGCCUGGCAGCGGCGGCGGCAGCAGCACCAAGAACAAGACCCGCAGUGGGGGCGGCGGCCUGAAGACCGUGGUCCGAGCCAAGGGGCCCCAAGCGGUUGCCCCUGUAAGCACUGCCUGCCGCCCCUGGGGAGGCCUGGCCCUGGGCCCCCUCCCAGCGCACCCUGGGCAGCAGGGGCAGCUCUGGGUCCAGAGCUCUCCUGGGGGAGGGGGACUGCCCCUCCUGCCCGCUGCAUCCCUUGCUGGUGACCCAUCCUCUCCUUCGCAGGGUGGAGGCAAUUCGAGGACCGGCCAGCAGGACAGGGCCCCAGCCCCUCCUGCCCUUCCCAGUGAGCCCCAGCCGCACCAGGUAACGCCCAGCCUGUCCCCAGGAUCCCAGGGGUGAGGGUGGCUCCCUCUUCACCUGGCCGCCUGGCCGGGGCACUGGCUGCAAGGGCUGGAGGACAGGGUCGAAGCUGCUGUUCGCAGAGUGGAGCUCUUUUUUUCUUUUAGUGGUAUUUUUUUUUCUGAUAGUACGCAAUUGCAAAAAUUCUUAAGUCAGAGCGAGCAAGUCAGCCUGGGCUCUUAAACCCACAGUGUUCGGUCCAGGCACAGGCCCUUCCGAGUCUCACAGCUGUGCCCUCGGGGGGGCGGGGGUAGGGGGUGAGUGGUGGAAACUGUCGGGCUCCCAGCACUGUUUCUGAACAAGGUAGAACCAGCCAUCUAUUCCAGCACCUUCUCCAGAGACUGCUGGGCCCCGGGCACUCAGCAAUGAGCAGGACCCCUGCCUGCCCCCAGGAGCUCCCAGGCUGGCAGAGUUGGGAUAGGGGGGUUGCUACCCCGGGGGGCUUCUGAAGGAGGUGGCAUCCAGCUGGGUGCAGUAGGCACCUUCCAGGCUGGGGCGCAAGCAGAGGGGACAGAGGCAGGGGGUAGGGGGAACACUGCUGGGCCUGCCCCUCCGCUGCCCUGUGAGGAAGGGGCUGUGUGGGGUGGGCUGUAGUCUCACGGCCGCGUGGAGCACAGGCACCCACGAGACACCAGGCUCUCCUAAGGACAGUCCUUCCCGAGGGGGGUGGACCCAGGAGGUGUUCGGGGCUACCGUCUCAGACAGAGGGGCCUCGGGGAGCCCUGGGGAGCAGGCAGGCAAGGCGGAAUUCCAGGCAGGGAGCAGGCUGGGGACCUGGGUGCCCCUGGGGGAUGCUGCCCGGGGAGCCGUCUGGCCGGGAGGGCGCCCAUCCCGGUCCCGCAGAGGAUGCCUGUCUCCCGACUGCGUCAGAAGAACGAGGACGAGUGCGCCGUGUGCCGGGAGCCUGGCCCUCCGCCCCCACCCGCCGACCCCGAGUGGGCGUGUCCGGAAGUCUCCCAUCCGGAGAGCGGAGAGGCCUCGAGCAGAGCUGAACGGAGGAUGGCGGAGCAGAACUGUCCCUUCUCACCCCAUCUCCCCAGACCAUACUCCCCUGCGCAGCUGACAGCAACGUCUGACUCCAAGNNNNNNNNNNNNNNNNNNNNNNNNNNNNNNNNNNNNNNNNNNNNNNNNNNNNNNNNNNNNNNNNNNNNNNNNNNNNNNNNNNNNNNNGCCCCCCCCCCCCCCCCCCCCCCCCGCGCUCCCACAGCCCCAGGGCUCUGGUCUGGGCGAAGAGCACUGGGUGGGAGUUGUGGUCCCGGCCCUGCCCCCACUUGCCGCUUGGCCCUGCCCAGGUCUCAUUUCUGAGCUAAAACAAAGGGGUUUGGCUGGGGUCCUCUGGCUCCACUCCACGCUGCCCCCCUUCCUUUCUCUUCCUUCCUGCCCUUGACCGGCUCUGCUCCGUGGGCACCAUCCCCCAUGGGAACCAGGGCCGUGCCAGCGAUGUAACAGGCCAGGCACAGGCCGCUGCUGGGCAGGGUGUGGGGAAUUCUUGGGGCUCACCAAGGAAGCACCAGGGGUGACUGCCCUGGCAUCCUGCUCUCUUGCUGACUGCUGGGCAGGCCCUGCCUCCACCACUCAGCCCACUUCCCCCGCUGGCCCUCCUUCCCUACCUGGGAAAGGGCGAGCUGGAGGAGCCCCAGGCCUCCCCCGCGCUGGGGGUUGCGAGUCUACUGUCCCCUCUGCUUUGCUCUGCUCCUCUCUGGCUGACAACGACAUGAGCAGCGGGACCUGGAGGUGCUCCAGCUGCCUCCAGGGACGAUCCCAGCAGGACCUGCCCCGGGCUGAGGCGCCCCGGCCCCAGGAGCCGCCUGCAGAGACCCCGGUACGCACAGCCCACUCCCAGACUCUCUGUCCUCCUGCUCCCUGCCUCCUGGCCACUUCUGUGGGUCAGGCCUGCCCCCGCCACAGGGCCAGGCACCCCUGCCCUAGCCUGGCCCCACCGAUUCAACUUUCUCCUGUGGGGCUAUGGGGGCGCUGGCCCCUGGGAAGCAGCCCUUACAAGGACCCGGUUUCCCAAGCCUCUGAUGUGGGGGCCCCGGCUGAGUCAGGGGAUGUCCUCUGACUACUGAUAAUGUUCUCCAUGAAUGUUCCGAGCGUUCCGUGGCCACAAAGACAUGAAGGAUGCGACAUGUGCCCCAGUGUGUGCUGUGUCUCCUGGGACAGCCUGUGAGGUCCCAGGGCUCCUGCCUUCACGUGGGGAAAGGGCCAGGGACCCUGCGGGGGCUACAGAGCCAGGAAUUGCACCUGGGCCUCUCCCACCUGCGGGUUCUUCCCACAACACGGGCCCGCGGUUCCCAGAGUCCCAGGGGUCAUUAACUCCCGUGCCGUGCUGGGCAAGUUCCCUGUGGCCCCUCUGAGCACUGACCCUCUGGUUCCAGGUCCUCUUGGGACUGAGGUCAGCCGGAGAGGAGGCUAGGGGACUGCCCAGGGAGCCCCCAGCGGGAAUGGAUGCUGCUGUCACCUACAAGCACCUGCUGGCCCCACCUUCCGCAGUCCCCCUUCCUGUGCUGGACCCCUCAGCCCUGCGCCCCCUACUGUGUGUGGGCCCUGAGGGGCCACAGGUGAGGGGGGUGCUGGGGUCCAGGUGGUUGUCCUCAGGGAGCUCGGGGUCCAGGGGCAGCCAGGGAAGCUGAAAUAGGAGAGGACAGGCAGGGGGAAGGAGGCAGGAGUCAGAUGGGCGUUAGGGCUGGGGGCUGGGGGAGGCCCCUGCAAGGAGCAGCCAGGCUGGUCCUGGGGAGGGCGUCGGGCGGGAGCAGGCUGGAAGGAGGCACGGGGGCUGCUGGGGCUGUGAGGUUACCCAGAACCAGGUGGGAGCUCUGAGAGGCAGGGGGAGGGGACGGGGGUGUGACCCUUCUCUCUGGAUCUUGAAACCCUCAUUACACCUGCCUCACAAAGAUACGGCUGUAAACGGGGCGGUUUGGAGCCCCAGGCCUCCCAGCCCCCUCUGGGGUAGCGUCCUUUCGGGGACCCCCGACCAGCCCCAAGAGGGACCGAGGUCGGGGCGCCUGGUUUCUCCAAGUUAGAGGGCCCUUGACUUCCCUUGGCCGGGAUCUCGAAACCUCGCCGC
rnacentral:lncRNA from 1 species